CCUCGCAAAUGAGUUGUACCAAAAGCAAUAAAAUUGUGUAUCAAGGGAUGUCCGGUCAUGCCUUAUGACACGUGUUCUACAUUUCAUAUUAGCAAACCACUUGUACCCUGCUUUUUAGAGAUGCACAAAUCUCAUUUGGAUUUUUACUCUGUUUUUUCCCCGUAAGCUUGAGAUAUGACAAGUAGUUCGAUGCAAGAAGAGUGCCCGUUAGGGUAAUGACACUAGCUUGAGACAUGACAAGUAGUUCGAUGCAAGAAGAACGGCCAUUAGGACCACACAAUCCAUCCUUAAGUCCAAACUUUGUUCUCUAUUCAUGUAAGCAUAUUAUCAUUCAAUUAUUGAUGCAAUUCCGAUGAUGACCGGGUUCCCUUUUAUCCUUCUAUUUUUCUGCUUUAAGAAUUCACGCUCUGUAUAUGGUGUCGGUGGUCGAGCAGUCAAGACCCCCUAAAGAUAGACUUGAAGUCAUCCCCUUAUAUAUCUAUACGAUCAUCCUUUAUGUGAUUGUUGAUUAGUUAUUCUAUGUAGUUUGAUUAGUUAUUCUAUGUAGCUUGCCAUUCCUCUUUGUUAUGACAACUUUGAUAUCUAGCAACUCUUCGAAAAUAUUUAGCGAAUAAUUUCCUCGAAGAAACUAUGUUUCUAAAAGUUCUUUCAAAGAUGUUAACUCAUAAAAUGCUUCCUUU